CCUACGGGAGGCAGCAGUGGGGAAUUUUGGACAAUGGGCGCAAGCCUGAUCCAGCCAUGCCGCGUGCAGGAUGAAGGCCUUCGGGUUGUAAACUGCUUUUGUACGGAACGAAAAGGUCUUUUUUAAUAAAGAGGGCCCAUGACGGUACCGUAAGAAUAAGCACCGGCUAACUACGUGCCAGCAGCCGCGGUAAUACGUAGGGUGCAAGCGUUAAUCGGAAUUACUGGGCGUAAAGCGUGCGCAGGCGGUAAUGUAAGACAGAUGUGAAAUCCCCGGGCUCAACCUGGGAACUGCAUUUGUGACUGCAUUGCUGGAGUGCGGCAGAGGGGGAUGGAAUUCCGCGUGUAGCAGUGAAAUGCGUAGAUAUGCGGAGGAACACCGAUGGCGAAGGCAAUCCCCUGGGCCUGCACUGACGCUCAUGCACGAAAGACGGUGGGGAGGACAAACAGGAGUUAGUAUACCCUACGGUAGUACCGACCGACCCGUAAACCGA
rnacentral:rRNA from 1 species